UAUUUGACACGUAUUUAGGCACUUCCAUAGAAGUUUCCGUGAUCUUGCCUUUGUAAUAAAUAAAAGAGAGAGUUAGAAACGCAUUCUAUUGUAUUGUGGAACACUGAGCUUUGCGUCUUCCCCAUUCCACUAACAUACACCACACAAUAUAACACAAUAAUCUAUGAUGACGUGAAAAAAAAAUCUAAGGAUGACGUGGGGAAGGAAGGGUGGUGUGCUAUUCAAACAGCCUUUAAAUAGAGACAUUUUUGAGCUAUAUCUCUUCAUUGUGAUUUCUGCUCCCUAGCUCUACUGAGCGCUCUCUCUCUCUCUCAAUCAAGAUGUGGCAUUGGUUCGCGCACAUCCUUCACCUUUUCUUCCAUUUGUUUCAUUUUGGUCAUGCGUUUCAUGUGGCGCAUCCCUAUUUUGCUGGGUGAGAUGUGAUUCUAAGCAGCGGUGGUCCAAACUGUUGGGACGAGUGGGUGGUUCUGAACUGGUUCUUAUGGUUAAGCAGUCUGUGUUUAUGGCAUAAGCAUAUGUAACAGAGUAACGCUAUCCAGAGAGCUUCGUCACAGCAAGAAGUAUGGGCUCUGUAUUAUUUUAUCAUUGAAUUGAGAUUAUUUUUUUAGAUGGGUAAAAAGUGUAAUGAAUCUUUUCAUACAUCUUUCAAUUCCGUGAUUAAAAACGAAAAGUUCAUGAAUCUUGCCGCAAACGAAACUCUGUUAAUAGCAUUAUUGUGUUGUCAGUUAUCAAUUGUCAGUUGUGUGUUUUUUUUUGUUUGUAAUAAAUAAAGAAUCCAGUUCAAUGCAAUUAGUAUUUGUUAUCU